UGAAGAUGUUAAGAUUUUAAUUGGGAGUGAUGAUAAUGGACAGGAUUAGGAAUGAGUACAUCACACGGACAACUCAGGUUUGGAGACAAAGUUAGAGAGGUGAGGCUGAAAUAGUUUGGGCAUGUGCAGAGAAGGGACAGCUGGAUGUUGAAGAUGAAGCUGCCAGGAAGGAGGAAAAAAGGAAGACCUCAGAAUGAAACAAAUUUCCCACGUGUGGGACUAAUAAAGGUUAUCUUAUCUUAUCUUAUGUAGUGAAGGGGGACAUGCAGAGGGCUGCUGAGGUGACCCCUGAAGGGAGAAGCCAGAAGAUAAUUUUCCUGUGAGUAUGUAAGUAACGUUCACAGAUUUAUGUUCUGUAUUGUUUUACGUAUGUUAGAUCUUUCUGUGUUAAGGAAGCUAUAAAACCACCUCCCACACUCUGCUCCACCAAGCAUGGCCUCCUGACUGCAGGAACUUCACACAGUCACACAGAAACAAACUAGUUUUCUUAUUUAAUCUGUGUUUAGUUGAUAAUGUUGUAACCUGACUGUUGGAGGCAGUCAGAAGAUUCGCAUGUUAGAACUCUAUAUUUGUUUUUACUUGACUAAUUAAAAAAAAAAAACUUCUUGAGGAUGUUGAGGAUUCAUUUUCACUGUAGUUUUUUACUCAGAGGGGUGUGCACCCAGCACGUGACAACCUUUACAAGUCAGAAAAUCUCAGCGUGGAGCUCGGAGACCAAGGGGAGGAUUUUAACAGCUGCUCUCGCUUUGAAGUCGUCUUCCUGCUUCGAGGUGAAGAACAAUAAAUAGGGUGAGGCUGUCCACAGAGACUCACAAGAGUGUGAAACAAAGAGGAAAGACACAUUAUGACUGAGCUGCGGUGGAUCUCAGAGCUUCUGUAACUGAACGGACAAUGAAGGCGAGGCCGGCCUGGAUUCUUAUUUUCUUUCAGCUGUUCGAAGCCAACGCAGAGGUGAUCUUAAAACGUCUGACGGAGGGUCAGGCUGUGGUGAUCUCCUGCUCCCCUUGGCAGGCCCACGGAGGCCUGACGGGCCUCCACCUGUACCACCGCGGUGUCCAGAGCCAGACAACCCUGGUGUCCGUGACUGAGGCCGGUGAGGUCACGGUCGCCACGGAUCACAGAGCUCGCCUGGUGCUCCGUGGAGACCUGAGCUCCAUGAAGGUCAACGUGACCAUUUCUCGCUUAGAGCUGAGCGACACAGGGCUGUACAUGUGGGAUCUGAGCUACAGAGACACUAACAGCUCUGAUCAGAUGAUCCUCUGCGCUCAGAAGACCUUCGUGCUGGUUGAGGUGGCAGGGAGGCCGUGCCACUGCUCUCCUGGUUACGCCCCUCUACUCUGGACCAUCUUCACAGCAGCAGGGCUUCUUCUGCUGACCCUCACCUGGCUGGCCAUCCAGAAAUGUGUGAGUAGUUACCUCAGAGAUGCAGCUUUAACUGUGCUCUGAUAGUUUGGUUGCAUAACUCCAUCAAAAUAACGGCUACAGCUGCACGAGUGAGUUACACGAGGCUAAUUAUCGAUUAAUGUGUCGGCUAUGAUCCUGGUCUGACAGUCAUCUGUUUUUUUUUGAGGGAAUCUUCUGAUAAAGUGUGAUGUGUGACUGCAGCAUCGUUACUCAAAAUGUGCAAAAGGUAUUAGCAGACAGGAGCCCAAGUUAGAGGUGAACCACAGCAGGAUCUGUGUUCAACAACCCAGACAACCUCAAAUGACUGUACGCUUCAUUUCCUGCUGCGUUAUUAUUAAUACCAUCAGUUUUGCACAAAAUAGCCAAGGUGAAAAACCCAAGGACAGAACAGUUUCUAAUGUAAUUAGUAUCAUUUGCCUUUUUAAGUAACAAACUUUAUUUAUAAGGUCUGUGAUCAGGUACUGGUGGAGUGAGCGUUAAAGGAGAGAUUACUGGAGUAUUUUGAUAUUUUCAGACUGAAAACCCCCCGAGGGAUUUUUUAUUUUAUUUUUUUAAAUCAAGACGACACAUCCAAGCUACAAAAACAAAAGCUGAAACUUUUUGUUCUAUCACAAUCUAAAAAAAAACCCAAACAUGUGUUGUAGGUGAAGUUAAGGUCUCAUCGCAAACCACAACCUCAUGCUCCAAUCUAUGAGGAAAUGGGCAGGAAGCAGCAGCACCAGAGCCCCAGAGGCCCCCAGAAUAACCACGAGGCCCCCUCGCACCUGGAGGAAGUCAACUUCCCCGUGUACGCUAACCCAAACAUCCGACAGCUUCAGGACAACUACUACGCCUGUCCCAGACAGCUCAAACUGAGAGACUGACACCAUCGGGCCAACGGUGCUGCGAGCAGUAACAGGAAAUAACAGACGCCUUUGCAAAAAUACAAGCGCUGCACACGCUCUGAUGGUGAUUUGCAUUCAGGAUACAAAAGGAUGAAGAAAUAGCACGAACCUCCACUGAGGCGACUCACUCUCUGAGCAGUAUUCACUUUUAAAAUUGUAUUUUGUACACAUGCAUUUAGUUUACUUUGUUCUUUUUAAACAUAAUUUAAGAAGUUUUUCUCUGUUCAAAACCCUUUUUAUAUAUGUGAUCAAACAUUUGAGUGGUGAUACUUAAAAAUGGUUAGUGAUACUUGUAACUCAUUUUGGCUCAACUUGAAAGAAAGGCAGACGUGAAAAGUAAAAAUGAGGUCAGAGGUCACAUGUGACAUUUAGAAUUCCUGCACACCAUUAUCAGUUAGCAAAACAAAAAUAGCUCUUUAUAACAUUAUUAUCACUUUUAUCUUCAGCUAAAUCUACUGAGCUUGAAGGAGCAGUCAAGCUGACAUUUUAAAUCCUUAUACCAGGGGUGUCGUUAUAUGGCUUGGGGGCCAGAAACAGCCAGGUAGAGAAGACCUCCCCCAUGACCAGUCACACUACACCAAAGUAAUUAAGUAAUAUAUAAACAAAGUAACAGUCUUUUCACCAUCUACUCUUCCAUUUCCAUUAACUACAGCAGCAUUUCUUCAUCACAAACUCUGAUGUUCUGCUGAAAUUGCACUUUUUUUCCUUACAUCUGGGAGAUUCAGUGUGUGGUUAAACUUCUUCACAAUGACAGAAAUGAGUUAAACAUCGCUGUUUACACGAUAAAUUUUUACGCUGAUAACACACCACACUUGUAAGAAUCAUAGUGUCUGAGUCAGAAGGCUUUUUGUCAAUUUUAGACCAAUAAAUCAUUGAGUCGACCUUAAAGACCUCGAUGGACUGUUAACCCGACCCCGCUCUACACUCUGUGGAAAGUCUUUGAGCUAUCGUGUUUACAGACAGGACAACACACAUUAAACCUUCUUGGUGGAAGCAAUACAUGAGAAGGGGACGGCUUUAACAGCCAAGUAACAAAAAAAUGCUAUUUUUAUUAAUAUUUGAAAGAAGCUCCAUAGUUCAUGAAAACAUUUGUUUCGGUGCAUGUCAUUUAACAAUCACAUUCUAUGAGGAGUAAGAGAUAUACAGAGAGAAACAAAAUAAAAACAAAACAUUACAAGCCACUGACUUCUCAUUAACUCUCAGUACAGACGUUUUUACUUAAUAAUUCAAACAAAAGAAAAAAAAAAAAGCAGCCCUAAUCCCAUAACUUUCCCACCCACCCUCUGUAAAACCUUAACCGAGGAGAAAAACAAACAAAAACAACAACAACAACAAAAAAAACCCUUGGAGGGUGACAGGCUAGAAUCCCACAGUGCUAAAGAGUGAGACGCUCAUUGGUUUUUAGGAAUACACAGCAUGGUGAUGUAGCGCUAGGCCAAUCUGAAUCAGAGGGUGGGGGGAGGAAGCUGGAGAUGGAGGUCUCCAACCCCUCUCUGCCCUCUUUAUCAAAGAAAAAAACAAAACAACUCAAACAAAUAAAAACACAUUGGAUCCCCAAAACCCCUGCAAUAGAUCAGCCACCUACAGCAAGUAGGCCAUAAAAUCCCCACCUUCACCCCUCCCACCCCAAACACUUGUGCAUAGUUUCAUGAUCCUUUUACAACCAGCUCACGUUUUACAAACAUCCUCCAAGCUGUGAAAAAUGCUCCACAAAAAGAAAGAAAACAAAAUUCAUCUAUUAUUAACAUUAAUACCCGCUGUGGGAGAAUGAGAGCGAGAGAGAGACACAGAGAGAGAGAGAGAGAGAGAGAGAAAGAGAUUAAUGCACAAUGUUUCCUGAAUCAGUCAGGACGGGACCUCAUUAAGAAAACACAAUAAAGAUUCAAACAUACAGCAUUUUGCAUGUUAUUCACCAUCUUUUUUUUUUCUUAAACAAACUCAGACCAUUUUUGUUUUUGUUUUUUCCAUGUAAAGCAAUUUUAAUAUAUAGAUUUAUAUAUAAAGCACUCCAUUUUUAUUUUAAAGUCCAUUAUUUGGUUAUUAUGUAACUGCUACGGAUUUAGAAACAAAAGGUAUUCUCUCUUCUUCUGAAAUCCAUAACUUUCAGUGCUUAGAAUUGUUUCUUUUAAGUCAUCCUUUGUUUUUUUUUGUUUUGUUUUUUUCUUUAAACUCAUAAAAAUGUACAUUAAAAUGGCGUGGAGUUGGUACUCUGGAACCCUGGCCUUCCUGAGACAAGAUCCACUUUUUCGUGUGUGUGCAAGAUAGUGAGCAAUUAUGUCUUUUUUUGUCUUCUUUUCUGUUUUUUUUAUAUAAAAGGAAAAAAAUAUAUAUAAUCAACAUAAAACAAACAGGCUUCAGAUAGUCCAUGAACAACAUUAACACAGAAUAAAGAAGGUUAAACAUAACAAGACAACACUGUUCAAUCCCAGAGUUCUGAAAGUAGCACAAUAAAAUCUUCAUUCUGUGAAGUGUUGCACUUUUUCUUAAAAAUGGAAGCAUUUGUCCUUUUUUUUAAAAUCUUUUUUAAAUUUUUUUUUUAGUUUCCCCACAUGGUUUCAUUCCUUUGUUUUGCUGAUUUGUUUCUGAACUCCAGAAUAAAAACUGUAAACUGUCAGUGGCCUUGCAGAAGAACAGAUGAGUGAACUAAGAGAAAACCGAACGAAAGCUAACAAACCCCGAAAAAUAAAAUAAAAAUAAAAAGGUAGGCACCUCUGAAUGAGCCCUAGAAGCCAAGGCUCGGUCUGAUGUCAUGUCCUUCACCCUCCGUUGCUCAGAUUUGGGAGAGCUGAAGUCCUUCUACCCCAAUCUAUGGCCACAGGUCUGCAAAAUACUUUUUUUUUGCUGCAUUUUUUUUUUUAUACAUAUGAUUUUUUUUUGAUUUUUUUUAAAGUUUAUAGUCUGAAAAAUGGUGCAAUACUCAAUUAUGAUCCAUACUUUCUUGGAUUAUUCCACAAUGAAAGCCACUAAGGUAGAUAAACAUUACAUUUUCUUUUUAAAAACACACUUAUUUUUAGUCCUUGAGUAAACAUUUACACAUGAACUGUCCCCCCAGAUACCUCUUCCCCCCUCCCCUCAGUACUUGUAUCAUGUUGUUCAUAUAGCUGGAUGAGGGGUGAGGCUGACACUCAGUGCAACGCUAGAGGCUAGUAACAAUUAACAUCAGAAUAUAGUAUUUGACAAGCAAAAAGAAAACAACAACAACAAAAAUGAUACUGAACUGAAGAGAAACGUGAGGCAGAGAUCCCUCCGCUGUAAUCACGAGCUCUCACGCAUCGUUUCACCUCGCAGACAUUCAUUCACAACGUACAGUACAAGCAGCCUUGUGCAAACACUCAAAUACGACUGAUGUAAAUUUGCCUUUUUUAAAAAAAAAAAAAAAAAAAAAUCUUUUUAAAACCGAUCUUUGUUUUUUUUUUUUUCACUCUGAACUGAUGCUUAAAAAUAAAAUAAAAUAAAACUCCAAAGUGAAUGAAUGAGACAAGAAAAAGAAAAACACUACAAAAAAAAAAAAAAAAAGUGUUCACAUUACAUUAUUGGCGCUUCUUUUGAUUCAAGUAUUUGUUUUCAUUAUUUUGUAUUACUCUGAUAUGUUUAUGAUCUUGUCUUCUGGGAAACAUUGAUGUUGGAUACAGAGGGUAAGGAGCUGAUGCCAGGGCAGAGGGCGGGGAGGUAAGGGUAAGGGUGUGGGUGGGUGGGGCGUUAGGCUUAAGUGGAAAACAGAAAUCUAGCCAUAGACACACAUACACCCACAAAUGUACGCUUGGUUGUAUCCUGUGUAUGAGCUAGCAUGUGCAUAUUCAACCCAGACCUUUGUUUUUAGAGAUUUGCUAAUUCAGCUCUUUUUGCCCCCAGAUCCUCGACUGAUCCACGACUGAGAAGUAGAUUUUACUCGAGCUCCAGUUGCCUUUGAGUCCGUGUGACUUAAAAUAACAAUAAUAAAUCGUAAAAAAAUCAGAGGGGGGAGGGGAGGAUGUGAUUUCCAACACUAGACCGGUAGAUAAGAGUGCAGACGAAGGCGUGGGAGAGGGUGGGGCUUCUCAGUGCUGGUGAAAUCCCAGGGCACGUCUGAGACUGUCCUGGUCACCCAUCCCUCCCACUCGGUUCAACUUCCCCCUCCUCCCGUUGAUUCAAGUCCAGUGUGGAGCAAAAUGCAGGUUUUUCAGGAACAAUCGCACAAAAACAGACAGCACAGGCAAUAGUGAUUGUUUCGUUGAAUGAUGAGAGUCUAAAGUGACUCUGGAAGAGGGUCAAAAACCACCCCGCAAAGAGUUUUAAGACUUGGUACCGAACUUGAGGUGCGUCUCUUGUUUCUGCUGAUACGUCAGAUCCCCGCUUGGACCCCCAAAGUCAAAUGUGCAGACAUGACCUGUUUUCUAUAUAUUCAUAUAUAUGCGUGUAUACUGGCUGGCACAACCUUCAGGUUUGGAGGUCCAGAGUGAACCUCCAGGAUACAGCUUCUCCCAGGCGUGGCUCGGAGAAACGAGCCCAGAGAGGGUGAGAAGGCGGCAGCUUGCAGAGAAACAGAAAUCAGGCGUCUCGGCCUCAGAGUGCACAGCUGAAACAGACUGUGGUUUUUUUUGUAGUUUCUAGUUUUUGCAAAAACCUUGAUGAUAAAGGAAAAAAGAGAAAGAAAGAUAAUGUUUUUGGUUUUUAAAGAGAUGUACCCGAUGUGACCCAUAAACAGUGCACAGACACAUACAGGGACGCUCCCUCCUCCUCCUCCUACUGGUGAGUGACCAGCUCCACUCAUCUGGCUUAAGCCUCCCACAGCUCCCACAGCCCUGCAGCGAUAACAUACACUCAUUGUUGCUAAGGAUAAAUCAGGAUGUGGCCAAAAGUGGAUGUAGACUUUUAGAAAUCUGUUGGCACAAAAACUCAACUUGGUGCCUCCAGCAGGUCAUUUAGUGUCAUCUAACAGCUCUGUCCACUACACGCCCCGCCCCCACCCUUUAUUUUUUUCUAUUCUGAAGAGAGGCUCCAUCAGUGUCCCCUACAUUUGAAUCCAGGUGAGGUUUCAAGAGAAGCUGCCCGGUAAUAAAGGUUGAAAGGGUUAAGUGGAAAAUUGGCGGAUGAAGGGGAUGGCUGUGAGCGAACACCUCCUUGUCUUUGCAUAGAAAUGGAAGGCUGUCAUCAAGUUGAGGUGGUUCUAAGUGAUAACUGGGUGCUCCCAGAGUUAAAGCACCAGCGUGAGCGAGGCCCAUCAACACUAAAAACGAUGGGUGUGUUACGACACAGCGCAGUGGACGCUCGGUCACCCCAGGAUGGACAGAAGAAGUUGGCUUGUCAUCCUGGAGAACCUUAAACUACACCCCCCUCCUUUUCAUCCUGAUUUGACUCCUCAAUUCUGAACCCCCUCCCUCCCUCCCUCAGUGAUUCACGCGGCUGAGGCGUACCUCUAAACUACACGCUGGUUCUGCCUUGGAGGCAGCGGCGGUGGGAGGGACAGGAAAGAAGAUGAACACUGCAUAAAAACCAUGAAAUCAUCAAAUAUAACAAUCGUUCAUGAUAACAGCAACAAUAUCAGCAAACUUCUCACAACAAAACAAAAUUAAAAUGCACACCAGCAACUCCAAUAAAAAAAAAAAAAAAGAAAAAAAGAAGAAGGGGAAAAUACAAUAAAACAAAACAUCAGUCGACUCCGUCUCCGGAUAAAGUGAUCCUUGCAGGAGAGAGACGGGAGGAGAGAGUGGAAGUGGAGGUUGCUGACAGACUCUGGUGUAGCAGUAGUAGUAGUGAGUAGUAGAUUCAAUACAAGGUGGCGGGCCAGUUCUGAAGGAGCUGCUCUUGGGAGGAAAAGGAGAAGGAAGAGGAGGGAAGCUAGUCUGUAAGGGUCUGCAGGGAGGCAGCGAGCGAGCGUGGGAGAUGGAGGGAGGGGGCGAGGGCUGCUGCAGCACUGCACUCUGCAGCAGGCAGGCACUCAGUGGCCACACUAUCACACAGGUUGGCAGGACCUCCAACAACAAAAACAAUCCAAAAGCGGGGGUGGGGGCGAUCCUCCCUGCUGAACCCAGUAGAACAUGAACACGUCGAGUGUUUCCAGACACCAAGGAUAAAGAUUUCAAAAGCUGCAAUGUAACAGUGAUAUCUACUUUGAUAGCAGAGGGGUGGAGUUCUCUGAGGUCUUUUCCUGCCACCACCCAUCAUCGCUUGACUUAGUUCUUCUUUGUGUUUCCCUUCACUUUGCUACGGUUUGACAUCCUUUCUGGUCCCGCUGACUCGAGGGAAGAAGGACUCCAAAAAAUAAAAUAAAAUAAAAUAAAAUUGGGGAAAAAAUAAAAAUAAAUUCACAUCCACGUCAAGUUCAAAAAUAAGUAUACAGAGAAGCCACUAAGCAGAUUGCUUUUUUUGUCUUUUCAAUUUUUAUUUGCCAGUGUUGCUUCUCCUUUCUUCUGUUCGUUGGCAUUGAGGGUAUGAGGAGUAGCCGUGCUCUUGCUAUGUGCUGUGAUAAGACCACCAACUCACACAAAUCGUUGAUUCAGACAUUUCUUGAAAUGCAAAUGUGGGUAAAAUGGAGGGAAGGGGAGUCAUCUGGUCUUCUUGUUUUGGUUUGACGCCAUCACCCUGUCAUGCACGCACGCACGCACACACACACACACACGCACACACACACAUGCACGCACACCUGCCUGUCCUUCUCCCCAAAAAUCAGUCACAAGCAUAAUCGUGGAGAGUCGGGUGGUGUGUGCGUCCUUGUGUUUAGACAGAAGGCCAGCGUGCUACUCUCCUGACACCCUGCUGGGGGAGACAAAGGGAAGCUAUAGUGGCAGGGUUUUUUUUGUUUGUUUGUUUUUUGUUUUGCAAUGAGGAGAUGAGGGCCGGUACAGGCGGGUGGAUGGGUGGGUGGUGAAGUUGGCGGGCAGACCGAUCAAGUGUUUGCAGUUCAUUCGUUACAGUCUCCUCUAUUAAUCCCGCGAGUAGGGGUGCUUGGACGGUGAGAGUCUGUGGCUAUAAUAUUGCACGUCGCUUGAAAUGGUUGCUUUGCAGGCGGAGUGGGCGCGCACGGUAGAGGGGGCGAGGCAGAGGCAGGGAACGACUUAAGUUUUUUUUUCUCCUCCUCCACAGCAUCAGUGACUGGGUCUGAGAGACUGAGACCAAACUGCGAGGUGUCUCCCCGCAAGUGAGUUGAGGUGCAUCGAAGUGUUUCAUCUUUACAGUUCCAUAGUAAUAGCAGUGGUUCAUCACUGUCGCCCAUCUUAACUGUACAUGCGACGACCCCACCCACCCCGUCCCUCGACACCACCACAUAAGAUUGACAGACACAUUUUGAAUAAUAUCAUUUCUUAGCUUUGUUUGCAAUGGUUCAAGAAGAGAAAUUAAAAAUAAAACUACAAAAAUAAAUGGCUUGAACAAGGCGAACAGAGUUGCAUCAUUCCCUUUGAGCGCUGUGAGGGGAACUCAAUCUGCUUUUAAACAAACAAACAAAACUAAACAAAACAAUGCACUGAAGUCGCGAGCUGUGGUUGCUUAAGCGGUUGUUAAGCCGCAGCAGCAUGUACUCUCCACUCAGGUUUCACUGGCUCAGAAAUAAGGGUGUGCAGGUGUCCGUAUGCUUCUUCACCAAGUACAGAGUGAGUGAGGAUAGCAGGGCAGGAAAUAGUUUAAGGCUAAUUAUUAGUGCUGAGAGAAACAAAUGUGGAGUCUGGACCAGCUGAAAGUUCAACAACCACUCUGAUUGAAGGGUUUUUUAAACUUUGGGAAUGACGCCUUUUUGUUUUCCAUGGAUCUCUGAGGUGCAGUAUGAU
ensembl:lncRNA